rnacentral:rRNA from 1 species
GACGAACGCUGGCGGCGUGCCUAAUACAUGCAAGUUGAGCGCUGAAGGUUGGUACUUGUACCAACUGGAUGAGCAGCGAACGGGUGAGUAACGCGUGGGGAAUCUGCCUUUGAGCGGGGGACAACAUUGGGAAACGAAUGCUAAUACCGCAUAAAAACUUUAAACACAAGUUUCAAGAUUGAAAGAUGCAAUUGCAUCACCCAAAGAUGAUACCGCGUGUUAUUAGCUAGUUGGUAAGGUAAAGGCCCACCAAGGCAAAGAUACAUACCCGACCUGAGAGGUGGUCGGCCACAUUGGGAAUUGGACACGGCCCAAGCUCCUUCGGGGAGCCGCAGUAAGGGAUCCUCCGGCAUGGACCGAAAUCUGACCGGGGCACGCCGCGUGAAUGGAGGAGGUUUUCCGAUCGGAAAACUCUGUUGAUAAAGAAGAAAGUUAGGGGGAGUUGAAAGCUCAUCAAGUGACGGUAACUACCCAGAAAGGGACGGCUAACUACGUG